CGACCUCGGCGAGGUGCCCACCAUCGAGUCCCUGAUAGGGGAAACCUCUGGCAAUUUAAAUGACCCAAGUAAGGAGGCACUGGCUAAGACAGAAGUGUCUCUCACCCUGACCAACAAGUUCGAUGUGCCUGGAGAUGAGAAUGCAGAAAUGGAUGCUCGAACCAUCUUACUGAAUACAAAACGUUUAAUUGUGGAUGUCAUCCGGUUCCAGCCAGGAGAGACCUUGACUGAAAUCCUAGAAACACCAGCCACCAGUGAACAGGAAGCAGAACAUCAGAGAGCCAUGCAGAGACGUGCUAUCCGUGAUGCAAAAACACCUGACAAGAUGAAAAAGUCAAAAUCUGUAAAGGAAGACAGCAACCUCACUCUUCAAGAGAAGAAAGAGAAGAUCCAGACAGGUUUAAAGAAGCUAACAGAGCUUGGAACCGUGGACCCAAAGAACAAAUACCAGGAACUGAUCAACGACAUUGCCAGGGUACUGCAUUUGGGGGACAGAGGGGAACUGGCCUUGUUCAAAGCUGAGAGGCUCGAGAGACAGUAGCUGUUCACAUAACAGCAUAGCUUCAGUUCGUGGGCAAAUUAGUGCCCUCCUCUCUGAGAA
rnacentral:sRNA from 1 species